UGCCCUGGCUGGGCAGCGCCUGUUGGCUCCACUUCAUUUCAGCACCCGGGGCAGUCACCCCUUUCGCUCCCUCUUGCUAUGGCAUUGGCAGGGAGUAAGGGGUUGCAAAGGAGAAGGGGGUAAAGGCAGGGUAACCCACAACCAGGGAUGCUUAGACAACAGUGUGAAUGCUUUUGGAAUCAACCUGUGGCCAUCCCAGGGCAGGGCUGGGUGUGAGAGAUCCAGGGUUAGACAACAUAACCAACCCCUCAUGGGAGGGCAGCGACGGGGGUCUGAGUGGAACCUGUGCAGCAGUGCCUGCCUGAGUCUGCAGGCAGCCUGGACAAAGGGCUCUGGGAGCUGCAGCAUGGCCCCAUCAUCUCAGCCCAGGCUGUGGAACUCAUUGUGCCAUUCUCAUUUCUGUCUCCCUGCCCUGUUGGGACCUUCCUGCUGCUGCCUUUUUUCUCUGCAUGCAUCCUUAUGUGGCAGAGCUAACCUGAUUCUAGGGCAUGCUGCUCGCAUGGUUCCAGGGGGUCGUGGAAGCAGAGCUGGAGCCCAGCUGUCAGAGGGCAGAGGUGCCAGGACUGCAGGCAGAGCAGCGGGAUGGCCUGGGCAACAACCCAGCAGUCACAUCCCAGGGAGGAGGAGGAUGGGGAGUCUGUGGCAGAACCAGAGCAGCCCUGAAUAUCCAAUGCCAUGAUGCUGAUGCUGGAUUGCAUGGCACAAAUGGGACUGAUACGAGAUGGGGGCCUCCCUCAUAAGUGAUCUCUGGGGGUUUGCCCUGGUUUCCCCAGGAAGUGUGUGAUCACUUUGCUAUAUGGGUCCCACUACACCAGGAGACUUUCAUGACAGCCACAGCCAUCCCCUGGGUGGGUGUCUUUCCUCUCCACUGCCUCCCCAGACUCAGGCACGUGGGCCGUUGCCUGGAGUUACCUCCAGAUUACAUGAGGUUAUACAAUGGAACUGGUUUGCCUCCGAUUGGUUAGGAGUGACUCAUAGACAUACAGUUCUGGCUCAGAAAGGGGCACCAGGGGCUGAAAACAUGUUCAGCAGCUCAACUGCAUCCCAGACCCACGUCAGGUCCCCUCUCUCUGCUGAGGUGCAGCCAGCGGCUGAUUGCCAAGCAGGCAGCAGGGCAGGGUGGAUGGAGACACGUCCCCAUGACCUGCUCUUAUCCCACUUAGGAUGGACCCAUUGACUUCUGGGGUGCCAUUUGCAAGGUUCCCCAUGCUCCCAUCUGCCUAUGCCCAGGUAGCAGUGCUCAGCCCUGAUGGAGAGUCUCGAAAAGCAUCAGCCUGGAGGAACUUCACCAGAGUCAGUGUGCUGCUCCCUCCUGCUGCCACUCCCAGAGCUUCCUCGUGGCAGCAAGUCUCACAAGCCACUC